rnacentral:rRNA from 1 species
UACGGGGGGAGCAAGCGUUGUUCGGAUUUACUGGGCGUAAAGGGCGCGUAGGCGGUCAGCACAAGUCAGUUGUGAAAUCUCCGGGCUUAACUCGGAAAGGUCAACUGAUACUGUGCGACUAGAGUGCGGAAGGGGCAACUGGAAUUCUCGGUGUAGCGGUGAAAUGCGUAGAUAUCGAGAGGAACACCGGUGGCGAAGGCGGCAUCCUGGACCGGUAUUGACGCUGAGGCGCGAAAGCUAGGGGAGCAAACGGG